GCGGCUAGGGUAGCGCCCCAGCAGAGCCGAGCCCCGCCCGUUCUUGUUUGGCAAGGCUGGGAGCAGGAUGGUUGUGCCUGAGCGAGUGGGUGGCUGUGGCUGUCCGCGGUCCCGCGUGCGGCUUUAGCUCCAGGAUAACAGUAACGGAAGAAAGAGAACAGAAGAAGAAAGAAUUCAUGGAGAUAUGACAAGACUACUUUGGAAGAUGGAAAGUAAAGGAAGAGAGUCGACGGGAGAUCUGAGAAAGCUGAAAUCUAAGUGCUAAGUAACAAGGAACAAGCCAGUUUGGACUGCAGAGCCUAGGGAAGCGACAAGUAGCUCUGAAGAUGAGGAAACUGAGGCAAACAGAGACUGACUGGCUUUUACAAGGUCACACACAUGGUAAAAGGCUGAGUAGGCAAUGGAAAACAGGCAAUCCGGCUGCGGAGUCCACAAUCUUAGCUACCACAUUCAAGACUAACACUACCUUCGAGAAAGCGGCAAUUGUCAAUGUCCUAACUGGGGGAGCGGUGGUGACCGCGAGGCAGGUGGCCUGCGGUGCAGUGCCCUCACCAUUCAACACAGCUGGCGGGGUCAGCCACAGAGCAACUGCACGAGGGGGCUUGCUGAACGGAGGAGGAA